rnacentral:rRNA from 1 species
CAGCCGCCACGGUAAUACGUAGGUGGCAAGCGUUGUCCGGAAUUAUUGGGUGUAAAGGGCUCGCAGGCGGUUUCUUAAGUCUGAUGUGAAAGCCCCCGGCUCAACCGGGGAGGGUCAUUGGAAACUGGGAAACUUGAGUGCAGAAGAGGAGAGUGGAAUUCCACGUGUAGCGGUGAAAUGCGUAGAGAUGUGGAGGAACACCAGUGGCGAAGGCGACUCUCUGGUCUGUAACUGACGCUGAGGAGCGAAAGCGUGGGGAGCGAACAGGAUUAGAUACCCCCGUAGUCCCUGUCUCUUAUAC